rnacentral:rRNA from 1 species
UACAGAGGUCCCAAGCGUUGUUCGGAUUCACUGGGCGUAAAGGGUGCGUAGGUGGCCGGUUAAGUCUGACGUGAAAUCUCCGAGCCUAACUCGGAAACUGCAUCGGAAACUAUCCGGCUCGAGGGUUGGAGGGGGGACUGGAAUUCCUGGUGUAGCGGUGAAAUGCGCAGAUAUCAGGAGGAACACCGGUGGCGAAGGCGGGUCUCUGGGCCGUAACUGACGCUGAGGAGCGAAAGCAUGGGGAGCGAACAGG